rnacentral:rRNA from 1 species
AACGAACGCUGGCGGCAUGCCUAACACAUGCAAGUCGAACGAGACCUUCGGGUCUAGUGGCGCACGGGUGCGUAACGCGGGGGAAUCUGCCCUUCGGUUGGGAAUAACUGAGAGAAAUUUCAGCUAAUACCUUAUAAUGUCUUCGGACCAAAGAUUUAUCGCCGUGGGAUGAGCCCGCGUAGGAUUAGGUAGUUGGUGGGGUAAUGGCCUACCAAGCCGACGAUCCUUAGCUGGUCUGAGAGGAUGAUCAGCCACACUGGGACUGAGACACGGCCCAGACUCCUACGGGAGGCAGCAGUAGGGAAUAUUGGACGCUGGGCGAAAGCCUGAUCCAGCAAUGCCGCGUGAGUGAUGCAGGCCUUAGGGUUGUAAAGCUCUUUUACCCGGGAUGAUAAUGACGGUACCGGGAGAAUAAGCUCCGGCUAACUCCGUG